rnacentral:rRNA from 1 species
GACGAACCGAGCGACCGUUGUUCGGAAUCACUGGGCUUAAAGGGCGCGUAGGCGGGUGCUCAAGUCCGGGGUGAAAUCCUCCAGCUCAACUGGAGAACUGCCUCGGAUACUGGGUGCCUCGAGGGUGGCAGGGGUAUGCGGAACUAUCGGUGGAGCGGUGAAAUGCGUUGAUAUCGAUAGGAACUCCGGUGGCGAAGGCGGCAUACUGGUCCACUUCUGACGCUGAGGCGCGAAAGCCAGGGGAGCAAACGGG